rnacentral:rRNA from 1 species
AACGAACGCUGGAGCGAGGAUUAGGCAUGCAAGUCGAACGGGAAGCCGUGAGUUCAAUCCUUCGGGAGAGAUCAUGCGGUGGAGAGUGGCGUAAGGGUGAGGAACGCGUGGGUAAUUUGCCUUCGAGUUGGGGACAACCCUCCGAAAGGAGGGCUAAUACCGAAUAUGGUCUCCUGUCGCAUGGCAGGAAGAUUAAAGGUGGGGACCCUUCGGGGCCCGUCGCUUGAAGAGAAGCCCGCGUCCCAUCAGCUUGUUGGUGAGGUAACGGCUCACCAAGGCUUACGGGUAGCUGGUCUGAGAGGAUGAUCAGCCACACUGGGACUGAGACACUGCCCAGACUCCUACGGGAGGCUGCAGUCGAGGAUCAUUUGCAAUGCGCGGAAGCGUGACAAUGCGACGCUGCGUGAAGGAUGAAGGCCUUCGGGUCGUAAACUUUUGUCAUUCGGAAACAAAGGCAAUAGGGUUAAUACCCCUAUUGAUUGAGGGUACCGAAAGAGGAAGCCACGGCUAACUCUGUGCCAGCAGCCGCGGUAAUACAGAGGUGGCGAGCGUUGUUCGGAUUUACUGGGCGUAAAGGGUGCGUAGGUGGUUUUGUAUGUCGGAUGUGAAAGCCCAUGGCUCAACCGUGGAAGUGCAUCUGAAACUGCGGAACUAGAGUGCAGGAAGGGAGAGCGGAAUUCUUGGUGUAGCGGUGAAAUGCGUUGAUAUCAAGAAGAACACCGGCGGCGAAGGCGGCUCUCUGGAAUGCUACUGACACUGAGGAGCGAAAGCGUGGGUAGCGAACAGGAUUAGAUACCCUGGUAGUCCACGCCGUAAACGAUGAGUACUUGAUGGUGGGGGAUUCGACCCCUUCACUGUCGGAGCUAACGCGUUAAGUACUCCACCUGGGGACUACGGCCGCAAGGCUGAAACUCAAAGGAAUUGACGGGGGCCCGCACAAGCGGUGGAUUAUGUGGUUUAAUUCGAUGCAACGCGAAGAACCUUACCUGGGCUUGACAUGGACUGGAAACCCCGGUGAAAGCCGGGGCCUCUGCGAGCUUGCUC